rnacentral:rRNA from 1 species
UUGGAUCGCCCUUCCUACGGGAGGCAGCAGUGAGGAAUAUUGGUCAAUGGGCGAUAGCCUGAACCAGCCAAGUAGCGUGCAGGACGACGGCCCUAUGGGUUGUAAACUGCUUUUGUGCGGGAAUAAAGUGCGCGACGUGUCGUGCAUUGCAUGUACCGCGUGAAUAAGGACCGGCUAAUUCCGUGCCAGCAGCCGCGGUAAUAAGGG